UUUGUUUUUUAAUUAAAAACUAGAAUGAAAGACUUCACAUUUAAAUUUCUUWAUUAAUUUUAAAAUAAUUAACCUAUAUUAAGUAUAAAAAUAUACUUAUUAAAAAAAAAGACGACAAGACCCUAUUAAAUUUUACUUAUUGUUAAGCUGGGGAAGCUUAUUAAAAAUAAUUUUAAAUUAAAUAAAAAAAAUAUCUAAUAAAAUUAAAAUUAUAAACAAAUUACUAUAGGGAUAACAGCGUUAUAUUAUUUUAAAGUUCAUAUUUAUAAUAAAAAUUGCGACCUCGAUGUUGAAUUAUAUUUCUUUUAUUAACGCAACAGUUAUAAUAAUAGGUCUGUUCGACCUUUAAAAUAUUACAUGAUUUGAGUUCAAACCGGUGUAAGCCAGGUUGGUUUCUAUCUUUUUAUUAGAUUUUACAGUACGAAAGGACAGAAAAACUUUUAAUUUAAAAAUUUUUAUUAGCAAAUAUAUGCAUUAGACUUAGAAUCUAAUUUAUCUAAUU
rnacentral:rRNA from 1 species